rnacentral:rRNA from 1 species
GAUGAACGCUGGCGGCGUGCCUAAUACAUGCAAGUCGAGCGAACAGACGAGGAGCUUACUCCUCUGACGUUAGCGGCGGACGGGUGAGUAACACGUGGAUAACCUACCUAUAAGACUGGGAUAACUUCGGGAAACCGGAGCUAAUACCGGAUAACAUGUUGAACCGCAUGGUUCAACAGUGAAAGACGGUCUUGCUGUCACUUAUAGAUGGAUCCGCGUCGCAUUAGCUAGUUGGUAAGGUAACGGCUUACCAAGGCAACGAUGCGUAGCCGACCUGAGAGGAUGAUCGGCCACACUGGAACUGAGACACGGUCCAGACUCCUACGGGAGGCAGCAGUAGGGAAUCUUCCGCAAUGGGCGAAAGCCUGACGGAGCAACGCCGCGUGAGUGAAGAAGGUCUUCGGAUCGUAAAACUCUGUUAUUAGGGAAGAACAAAUGUGUAAGUAACUAUGCACGUCUUGACGGUACCUAAUCAGAAAGCCACGGCUAACUACGUG